rnacentral:rRNA from 1 species
GAUGAACGCUGGCGGCGUGCCUAAUACAUGCAAGUCGAGCGAACGGACGAGAAGCUUGCUUCUCUGAUGUUAGCGGCGGACGGGUGAGUAACACGUGGAUAGCCUACCUAUAAGACUGGGAUAACUUCGGGAAACCGGAGCUAAUACCGGAUAAUAUUUUGAACCGCAUGGUUCAAAAGUGAAAGACGGUCUUGCUGUCACUUAUAGAUGGAUCCGCGCUGCAUUAGCUAGUUGGUAAGGUAACGGCUUACCAAGGCAACGAUGCAUAGCCGACCUGAGAGGGUGAUCGGCCACACUGGAACUGAGACACGGUCCAGACUCCUACGGGAGGCAGCAGUAGGGAAUCUUCCGCAAUGGGCGAAAGCCUGACGGAGCAACGCCGCGUGAUUGAUGAAGGUCUUCGGAUCGUAAAACUCUGUUAUUAGGGAAGAACAUAUGUGUAAGUAACUGUGCACAUCUUGACGGUACCUAAUCAGAAAGCCACGGCUAACUACGUG